GCUUGGUGGUGCACAUCCAUAAUCCUUGCCACUGGGGAGGCUUUGGUUGGUGGAUUGCUUGAGCUUAGGAGUACUGAGCUGCAUGCAGCAGGCUAAGUAGAUUGGAUGUCCACACCAAGUGUGGAACCAAUAUGGUAAGCAUCUGGGAACAGGCAACUACCAGGCUGCCUAAGAAAGGCCAAAUCAACCCAGGUCAGAAAAAGAGCAGGUCAAAACUCUCAUGUCAAUCAGUAAUGGGAUCAGGCUCAGCGGCUGCUGCCCUUGCAAUCUCGGUGAGAUAGAGACAUACCCUCCCC
rnacentral:SRP_RNA from 1 species